rnacentral:lncRNA from 10 species
GCCCCAGGAGAGCAGAAACUUCCUUUGUCUACCCGACAGGGCUGAAGCCUCAGAGUCUGGAUCAGUGUCAGGCUCCCGCCCCCACCCAGGCCUGCUCAGAAGAACCCAAGCCACUCAGAAGCAGGAGGCAGCCUUCACCCCAACCAGACCAAUAUCCGUUCCAGACUCAGGAUUACAACAAUCUGGGAGAGGGUCAACCAAGUCAGAGUCCCACAUGGCAGAAGAGCUGCUUUAGCUUAAGACUCUUAACUCUUUUUCUUCGGGGCAGGAAAGGUUUGAGCCAAUGAAGGAUGAGGCUUUCCAGGCCCAGGACACAACCUUGAUCCAAGGCCUAGUUGUGGCUUUAAUUUUUGUAAAUCAAGCCUCAAGUUUUUCUUCACUCUUUUAGCCAAAGAUAUGUUUCCCAGGAUGCAUGAAAUAAAUAAAUAAAAUGUACCAAAUUAGAGA